AAGCUCGUAGUUGAAUUUCGGGCCUGGCUGGGUGGUCUGCUUAACGGCAUGUACUGUCUGGCUGGGUCUUACCUCUUGGUGAGCCGGUGUGCCCUUUAUUGGUGUGCAUUGGGGAACCAGGACUUUUACCUUGAGAAAAUUAGAGUGUUCAAAGCAGGCUUAUGCCCGAAUACAUUAGCAUGGAAUAAUAAAAUAGGACGUGUGGUUCUAUUUUGUUGGUUUUUAGAGUCGCAGUAAUGAUUAAUAGGGAUAGUUGGG
rnacentral:rRNA from 1 species